UACGUAGGGUGCGAGCGUUAAUCGGAAUUACUGGGCGUAAAGCGUGCGCAGGCGGUUUUGCAAGCCGGGUGUGAAAUCCCCGGGCUCAACCUGGGAAUGGCAUUCGGGACUGCAAGGCUGGAGUGCGGCAGAGGAGACUGGAAUUCCUGGUGUAGCAGUGAAAUGCGUAGAUAUCAGGAGGAAUACCGAUGGCGAAGGCAGGUCUCUGGGCUGACACUGACGCUCAUGCACGAAAGCGUGGGGAGCAAACAGG
rnacentral:rRNA from 1 species